UUGUUUGACUUCAGKGACAGGAAGAUCAAUUCCAAAGAUAUCCUACAAGGGCAAUCCUGAGGUUGCUGGUGAGGUCUGUAGUCUGCAGUCCUCGGAUGUCAACCUAAGUGCUGCAAUCCUGUCAGACAAAUGGGUUCUUGACCAGUGGUGAAGUCUAUGCCAUGCGAUUGCUCACCUCUGAGCACCCAGCUUGCUCAUCUGAGCAUUGGGCAUGAACUGCCCUGGAGAUUUAAGCAUUGUCCGCUGCCUGGGAGCGCUAACUGGUCUGCUCAGGACCCUGAGAAGCUGUUCAUCAACUGUAACUUUGCUUUGUUUUCUUAGUGUGAUUCUUCCAAAGAGCUGCCGAGCGCUUUCUGUACGUAACGGCACCCUGACGAGGAGCAUGGGACGCCUUCCCUCCCUGGCUGGCGGGCAGCUCUCGUCCGCUUUUGUACCUGUGUGCAGCGAGCCACAUCUGCAGGAGUCUCUUUUGGGAAUUGUAUAACCUGCAUAUCUCAAGUGCCAAAUAUGAAACCUAACGGCCAGUUAAGCAGAGAGCGGUUGUUGGACCCUUACUGAGUCAAGUCUGGUCAAGCAACUUGGAUCUAGGAGCUUGUAAUGGUUUGUAGUGAAGGCACAGACUGCUGGCCCUUGAGUGAGGAGGGUGCCUCAACUUGAAGGAAAUCCCUAUGUGAUCCUGGCAAGUCUGUGGCUAGCUUUUGAACAUGGAAGGAGUAACAGAGCUACCUGUGAUCCGUGUCACACUCA